rnacentral:lncRNA from 13 species
UGCCAAGGGGGUGAAUACUGUCGCCACUGCAUGUAGAAAUAUAUACUGUAUAGAGAGAUAUAUAGAGAUAUACUGUAUAGAGAGAUAUAUAGAGAUAUACUGUAUAGAGAGAUUGAUAUAUAAUGUAUGGAGAAAUAAAUGGAGAUAUAAUGUAUAGAGAGAUACUGUGCAUACAGUGAUAUACUGGAUAUAGAGAUAUAGAGAGAUAUAUACUGUAUAGAGAUAUAUAGAGAGAUAUAUACUGUAUAUAUAUAUAUAUAUAUACAGUGCCUUUCGAAAGUAUUCGGCCCCCUUGAACUUUGCGACCUUUUGCCACAUUUCAGGCUUCAAACAUAAAGAUAUAAAACUGUAUUUUUUUGUGAAGAAUCAACAACAAGUGGGACACAAUCAUGAAGUGGAACGACAUUUAUUGGAUAUUUCAAACUUUUUUAACAAAUCAAAAACUGAAAAAUUGGGCGUGCAACAGGUAUAGGCCAAUUAAAAUGUUUUCUUUAAUGUAAACAAAACUAUUAACUUUAAACUAAGAAAAAGGAAUGAGGCGUGGAAGUAUCAUACUGUAAGUGCAUGGAUGCGUGAAUCUGUGUGUGUGAAUGACUGAGUGAAAACUAUGCAAAACUACAGAAGAACAAACACAACAGGUUCAUACCUGGAGGAGUGGAGAGAGAGAGAGACAAGAGUGGUUAGUGAAGCAGUUUAAAGACCCUGAGCCCAGGUGACUCCAAUCACUAACGACCCUCCUCUGCCUGCAGGAGGAACCGCCCCUGCAACGCAGAGGAGCCGUGACAAGAUAUAUGCUGUAUAUAUGAGAGAUAUGUUAUAUUCUAUUGUAUUAUUGGGUUUGUUUGUUUGUUUGUUUGUUUGUUUAUGUGUCUCAUGCCUGAACCAGACUAUCAUCGUGUGUGCUGCAACCUUGUCCUGUCCUGUCGGAAUCUACCUGUCCAUCUGAGCCCACGUAUGUUCGUCAUUAAAGUACUCUGUUUGUUAAUUCGCUUUUGGGUCCUC